rnacentral:lncRNA from 1 species
UAUGAUUCAUCAGGACUCAAGGUUGCUACCAGACUUAACAAUAUAAUGUUGAACCUAACCCUUAGAAGUGCAGGCCAUGUGUGUUGUGAAAUUCUAAAGUAAAAAAAUUAUCUUACAACUCGCUAAAAGAACUUUUAAUAAAAAGAACUCAAAUUGACUUACUCCUGACUAGUCAUUGGACUUUUUAGAUUUUAUAUACUUUGUGUGUUUAUCAUUUCAGUACUAAAGCAUAGAAAUUAGGUUUUUUUUAAUGAAAAACUUAUUCAAAAAUACAAAAAAUUUCUUCAAAAAUUCGAAUCCUAUAC